rnacentral:rRNA from 1 species
AGUAAAUAUAAUAAGAGCAUUUGGUGGAUGCCUUGGCACUAGAAGGCGAUGAAGGACGUAAUACGCUGCGAUAAGCUUCGGGGAGUUGUGAAUAAGCUUUGAUCCGAAGAUUUCCGAAUGGGGAAACCCACCUAAUUUAUUAGGUAUUGUAUAGUGAAUACAUAGCUAUAUGAGGCAAACCCAGCGAACUGAAAUAUCUAAGUAGCUGGAGGAAAGGACAUCAACCGAGACUCCGUUAGUAGUGGGUUCGGUCCUUCAGCGGAUUUUACUCCGCUUUCAACCUGGCCAUGGCUAGAUCACCCGGUUUCGGGUCUAAUUCAUCUAACUAAAGCGCCCUAUUCAGACUCGCUUUCGCUACGCCUACACCUAACGGCUUAA